rnacentral:rRNA from 1 species
AGAGUUUGAUCCUGGCUCAGAACGAACGCUGGCGGCAUGCCUAACACAUGCAAGUCGAACGAGACCUUCGGGUCUAGUGGCGCACGGGUGCGUAACGCGUGGGAAUCUGCCCCUCGGUUCGGAAUAACUCAGGGAAACUUGAGCUAAUACCUGGAUGAUGACUUCGUGUCCAAAGAUUUAUCUGCCUGAGUGUGAUGAGCCCGCGUAGUGAUUAGGUAGUUGGUGGGGUAAUGGCUCACCAAGCCGACGAUCCUUAGCUGGUCUGAGAGGAUGAUCAGCCACACUGGGACUGAGACACGGCCCAGACUCCUACGGGAGUGCAUGCAGUGGGGAAUAUUGGACAAUGGGCUGAAAGCCUGAUCCAGCAAUGCCGCGUGAGUGAUGAAGGCCUUAGGGUUGUAAAGCUCUUUUUACCAGUGGAUGAUAAUGACAGUACCUGGAGAAUAAGCUCCGGCUAACUCCGUGCCAGCAGCCGCGGUAAUACGGAAGGGAGCUAGCAGUUGUUCGGAAUUACUGGGCUGUACAAGCGCCGCGUAGGCGGNUACUCAAGUCGGGGGUGAAAGCCCGGGGGCCUCAAACCCCCCGUGGAAAAC